rnacentral:tRNA from 5 species
UGCCCUGUAGCUCAGUGGUAGAGCAGGUGACUGUUAAUCACUUGGUCGCUGGUUCGAAUCCAGCCGGGGCAGCCA